AGUCUGAGCGGUUCUGCUGGUGUUUGGGAGAGUCCUGUUUUCCUUGUCCCCAAAGACAAGAGGGACCUGCAGGAAGGAUUGGGGUUCCUAGCACAGAGAAGUGAGAGCUGCAGUCCUGGGAUAACAGUGCAGAAGUUCCCUACAGAGGAUGUUGUGCUCUUUCCUAACCGCAUGCAGCAGAUGAAACACUUCCUUGAGUUACUUUAAUCCAUUAGCAAUGGAUUUCAGGAAAACACCAGUAAUGUAUGUAACGUGCACCCAGGAGAAACAACAAAUGAUGGCCUGAAACAUUUGCCCUCAUAUUGUGGCUUCACAACACAUAGCAGAGCAUUUUGUGUUGCAAGAGAGGUUGUGGAACGGUUUGGAGCUGGUACAGUGGUGCCUGAUGUGCAAAAUAAUGGAAGCAGAUAACCCCAGAGACCCCGCUGUUGACCCACAGCCUCUUGUAAAGUGAGCACAGAGCGUGCCAUAGUAGGCACAAAGGGAAGAACACGGGUGUCUGAGAGCCAAGCAGUGCUGGCGGGCUGCAGCUCCCCUUCCACUGCGCCAUUACAAACGGCUUCAUAUUCAAAUGCCUGCCUGCCUAUGAUUGUCCAAUUAUUCACUGCA